CGGAAUUACUGGGCGUAAAGGGCUCGUAGGUGGCCAACUAAGUCAGACGUGAAAUCCCUCAGCUUAACUGGGGAACUGCGUCUGAUACUGGAUGGCUUGAGUUUGGGAGAGGGAUGCGGAAUUCCAGGUGUAGCGGUGAAAUGCGUAGAUAUCUGGAGGAACACCGGUGGCGAAGGCGGCAUCCUGGACCAACACUGACACUGAGGAGCGAAAGCCAGGGGAGCAAACGGG
rnacentral:rRNA from 1 species